rnacentral:rRNA from 1 species
CGGGGUAGCGUGCAUUUAUUCCAUCCAAAACCGACACUGCCUGAUCUAAGCGCAGGUUGGCUGUAGGGCGUUCACGCGUCCUGCUUUCCGCCUGCGUUCACGGCUCAGGCAUGUAUACGGUGAUUCUGAAUAACUGAUGCUGAUCGUACAGGGCCACGGUGCCCACGAUAUUUCAAUCAAAUUCCUGCCCUAUCAUAUUUGUUGGUAAGGUAGCGGCCUACCAAGGUGACGACGGGUAACGGGGAAUCAGGGUUCGAUUCCGGAGAGGGAGCCUGAGAAACAGCUACCACGUCCAAGGAUGGCAGCAGGCGCGCAAACUAUCCAAUCCAGAUUAUGGGAGAUGGUGACGAGACAUAUUGGAACUCACCAGCACUGCUGGUCGAGUUACCAGAUAGACUACAAUUUAAAACAGUGAUAAAAUAAUCAACAGGAGGGCAAGUCUGGUGCCAGCAGCCGCGGUAAUACCAGCUCCUGUGGCCUAUAUGGUCGUUGUUGCGGUUAAAAAGCUCGUAGUUGAAAUACGGCGCGCUCGAAAGCUGCAUCGGUGGUAAGCCUGCCCAGGGCGACGGCAAUAGCCGAUCCCCUGUGAUGCAGUUUGUGGCCUGGCGUGUCAGCGCAGUGGUGUUGGGCGUGCGUGGCGCCAGCUGUUGUGUGUUCACUCAUGCAGCAGCUGGUGAUUCUGUGCGUCCGCUAAGGCACCGCUGCCGGCGUCAGGUCAUCUAUUACCGCUGAGACGGCAUUAGAGCGUGCUUUCUCGUCCAGCCUCCGUGAUCAUAUCCUUCAUUGGGUACACGGUGUCGCUGAGCGAAUUGUGCCUUGAGUAAAAUAGAGUGCUCAAAGCAGGCAAGGCAUGUAACAGUGUCAUUGCCCGUAUACUCCAGCAUGGAACGAAUGUCCAAUUGCUUGAACCACCCUGCGGCCAGGUUCGUUGGUUGAGCGCAAGCUCGGUGCGUACGUAAAGAGCUCACCCCGGUGAGAGAUGCUGGCGUGCGAACCCCAGGUCGUAUCCGCAUGAGUGUGUACCCGGUGAUAACAUUGGCGGGACCAGAGUUCGAUUAUGUGUAAACGGUCACCGCGAGAUUGUCACAGGUCCCAUGCACUGCCGACCCGGCAGCGACGUGCGCACGUAGGUGCCACACGCUUAACGGCGUGUGUGCCUGCGGUCAAUGUGCGCGUCGCUCCGGGCCAGGAUCUUUGUGCAUGGCGAUGAGCUGUGAGCUCGCGGGCCGGCUCUGUGUAUGUGUGGCGCGGGCGUAUGAAUCCCGGCCCAUGCCAAGCAUGGACCACCGGGCGUACGUAUCAAACUGUGCGCACAUUUUCACUCGCCCCGGGAUCGAUGCCACUCGUGCGUAAGGGUAUCGGUUAACAGAGACAUUUGGGGGCAUCAGUAUUUGGCCGCGAGAGGUGAAAUUCUUAGACCGGUCAAAGACUAACAAUUGCGAAAGCAUUUGCCAAAGAUGUUUUCAUUAAUCAAGAACGAAGGUUGGAGGAUCGAAGACGAUUAGAUACCGUCGUAGUUCCAACUGUAAACUAUGCCAACCAGGGCUCAGGCCGGAUCGUUUAUAUUGAAAUUACACUUCAACAUACUGAUCCAGGUUGGGCCCCCCGGGAAACCUAAAGUUUUUGGGUUCCGGGGGGAGUAUGGUUGCAAGGCUGAAACUUAAAGGAAUUGACGGAAGGGCACCACCAGGAGUGGAGCCUGCGGCCUAAUUUGACUCAACACGGGGAAUCUCACCAGGUCCGGACAUCGGCAGGAUUGACAGACUGAUAGAUCUUUCAUGAUUCGGUGAAUGGUGGUGCAUGGCCGUUCUUGGUUGGUGGAGUGAUUUGUCUGGUUUAUUCCGUGAACGAGCGCAACCACAGCCUUUAUUUUGGCCGUACCAAGUAUUGCCAUCCGGCCCGGCUGGUACGCGAAGUCUCCCUGUGCUGUUGGCAUGGCUGUGCGCCCGCGGUGCUGCGGUGCGUGCAUGCGGUGUGCCCGGGAUUGUCUGUCUGUUGGAUGCAGUUGCAUAUCCCAAACGGUGGGGCAGCAUACCGGUAGCUCGCUGGCAGUGCAACAGAUGGCGCUCGUGACGAUGCGUCAGACUGGUGCUGUACAGCUGCCGGAGUUGCUGUUCUACCGGUGUGGCUGUGUCCGGCAGCAGGUAACCUGGUAUAUCGCCGUGUGCGCGUGCCGAUCACAGUGCUGUGGGCGCGGGCCGUGUCAGUAUGCAGGGAGAUGUGCCAGUUGAUGGCCGGUGUGUGUUGGUGCGCCUUCAUAGAGGGACUACCGGUGGCAAACCGGGGGAAGUGUGGCAAUAGCAGGUCAGUGAUGCCCUUAGAUGUUCUGGGCUGCACGCGCGCUACAAUGGCAAUGACAGCGAGUGUCUGCAUCGAAAGAUGUGGGUAAUCUUUUAAUCAUUGCCGUGCUGGGGAUUGAGCCUUGAAAUUAUUGCUCAUGAACCUGGAAUUCCUCGUAAGUACGAGUCACCAGCUCGUGCUGAAUACGUCUYUGCCCUUUGUACACACCGCCCGUCGCUACUACCGAUUGAAUGAUUCGGUGAGGGCA